rnacentral:rRNA from 1 species
GAUGAACGCUGGCGGCGUGCCUAAUACAUGCAAGUCGAGCGCACAGACGAGGAGCUUGCUCCUCUGACGUUAGCGGCGGACGGGUGAGUAACCCGUGGAUAACCUACCUAUAAGACUGGGAUACCUUCGGGAAACCGGAGCUAAUACCGGAUAAUAUAUUGAACCGCAUGGUUCCAUAGUGAACGACGGUUUUGCUGUCACUUAUAGAUGGAUCCGCGCCGCAUUCGCUAGUUGGUAAGGUAACGGCUUACCAAGGCGACGAUCCGUAGCCGACCUGAGAGGGUGAUCGGCCACACUGGAACUGGGACACGGUCCAGACUCCUACGGGAGGGAGCAGUAGGGAAUCUUCCGCAAUGGGCGAAAGCCUGACGGAGCAACGCCGCGUGAGGGAUGAAGGUCUACGGAUCGUAGAACUCUGUUAUUAGGGAAGAACAAAUGUGUAAGUAGCUAUGCACGUCUUGACGGUACCUGAUCAGAAAGCCAGGGCUAACUACGUG